UUUUCCUCCUGCCGGCGAGCGCUGCGGGGGAGGAGCCAGCCAGGAGCCCAGACUACGUUUCCAAAAGUGCGCUGCUUUGGACAUCCAGCGCUCUGGGCACCGGUGGGGCGAGUUUGGGGCCCCCGCAGAAGCCCGCCCCAAGGAGGAGCCCUGGGGGCAGGCCCUCCUCCGGGACACCGAGGAAACACUGAAGGUUCUUUAUUAAAAAAAAAAAGAAAAGAAAGAAUGUACAGUGCUGCAGCUGUUUUGAGAAACAAUUGGGCCGUUCUCACAAUAUUAGUUACCAUAUAGCCAACAAUUCCAAAGAAAUGAAAACACUCCUUCACAUGAAAACUUGUACAGCGAUGUUCUAUCCUAGAAGCAUUAUUCAUAAUAGUCAAAAAGUGGAAACCACCCAAAUGUCCAUCAGUGGAUGAAUGGAUCAGAUAAACGUGAUGGACUUCUCUCCUGGCCACUGAUGCGCGUGGCGCUUGACAGCUCCCCAGCUUUGCCAUCCUUCGGGGCUUGGGAAGAGCAGCAACUUCAGCAGUUCCUCCAGGUGCCUGCAGGGCAGCUCAGUUCCCAGCCAACCAAAGUGCUAAGAUGAUCUACACUCAAGUGCCAAUAAGAAAUGUAACUGUAGGGGCGCCUGGGUGGCUCAGUCAGUUAAGCGUCUGCCUUCGGCUCAGG